GUGGGGAAUCUUCCGCAAUGGACGAAAGUCUGACGGAGCAACGCCGCGUGAGUGAAGAAGGUUUUCGGAUCGUAAAGCUCUUUCGUUAGGGACGAACGUGCUCUUUGUGAAUAAUGAGGAGUAAUGACGGUACCUAAAUAAGAAGCCACGGCUAACUACGUGCCAGCAGCCGCGGUAAUACGUAGGUGGCAAGCGUUGUCCGGAAUUAUUGGGCGUAAAGCGCGCGCAGGCGGGAUAUCAAGUCUUGAUUAAAAGUGCGAGGCUCAACCUCGUGAGGGGACAGAAACUGGUAUUCUUGAGUGUCGGAGAGGAAAGUGGAAUUCCAAGUGUAGCGGUGAAAUGCGUAGAGAUUUGGAAGAACACCAGUGGCGAAGGCGACUUUCUGGACGAUGUCUGACGCUGAGGCGCGAAAGCUAGGGGAGCGAACGGGAUUAGAAACCCUGGUAGUCC
rnacentral:rRNA from 1 species